CGAGUGAAGAGGGAAGAGCCCAAGAUUGAAAGCUGGCGCCUUCGGCGUCCGCAUUGUAAUCUCAAGAAGUGUUUUCCGCUUCGGACCAUGCCUAAGUCCCUUGGAAAAGGGCAUCAUAGAGGGUGAUAAUCCCGUACAUGGCAUGGAGCGCCCGAAGCUUUGUGAUACGCUUUCUAAGAGUCGAGUUGUUUGGGAAUGCAGCUCAAAAUGGGUGGUAAAUGCCAUCUAAGGCUAAAUAUUGGGGAGAGACCGAUAGCGAACAAGUACAGUGAUGGAAAGAUGAAAAGAACUUUGAAAAGAGAGUUAAACAGUACGUGAAAUUGCCAAAAGGGAAGGGUAGGAGGUCAGAGAUGCGUUCUAGGAUUCAGCCUUGCUUUUGCAUGGUGUUUUUUCUAGUUUGCAGGCCAACGUCGGUUUUGGGCACUGGAGAAGGGUGGAAGGAAUGUGGCACCUCUCGGGGUGUGUUAUAGCCUUCUACUGGAUACAGCGACCGAGACCGAGGACAGCAGCGUACUCGCAAGAGCGGGCCUUCGGGCACCUUUACGCUUAGG
rnacentral:rRNA from 1 species